rnacentral:rRNA from 1 species
UACAGAGGGUGCGAGCGUUUGUCCGGAAUCACUGGGCGUAAAGGGCGCGUAGGCGGCUUGACAAGUCAAAGGUGAAAUCCCUCGGCUCAACUGAGGAACUGCCUUUGAAACUGUCUGGCUUGAGGCCGGGAGGGGGUAGCGGAAUUCCCAGUGUAGCGGUGAAAUGCGUAGAUAUUGGGAGGAACACCAGUGGCGAAGGCGCUACCUGGACCGGUUCUGACGCUGAUGCGCGAAAGCGUGGGUAGCAAACAGG